rnacentral:rRNA from 1 species
GAUGAACGCUGGCGGCGUGCCUAACACAUGCAAGUCGAGCGAAGCACUUUGCUUAGAUUCUUCGGAUGAAGAGGAUUGUGACUGAGCGGCGGACGGGUGAGUAACGCGUGGGUAACCUGCCUCAUACAGGGGGAUAACAGUUAGAAAUGACUGCUAAUACCGCAUAAGACCACAGCACCGCAUGGUGCGGGGGUAAAAACUCCGGUGGUAUGAGAUGGACCCGCGUCUGAUUAGCUAGUUGGUGAGGUAACGGCUUACCAAGGCGACGAUCAGUAGCCGACCUGAGAGGGUGACCGGCCACAUUGGGACUGAGACACGGCCCAAACUCCUACGGGAGGCAGCAGUGGGGAAUAUUGCACAAUGGGGGAAACCCUGAUGCAGCGACGCCGCGUGAGCGAAGAAGUAUUUCGGUAUGUAAAGCUCUAUCAGCAGGGAAGAAAAUGACGGU